AUGAAGUUGGUGACAAGCAUUACUGUACUCCUAUCUUUGGGUAUUAUGGGUGAUGCUAAGACCACACAGCCAAAUUCAAUGGAGAGUAACGAAGAAGAGCCUGUUCACUUGCCUUGUAACCACUCCACAAUCAGUGGAACUGAUUACAUACAUUGGUAUCGACAGCUUCCCUCCCAGGGUCCAGAGUACGUGAUUCAUGGUCUUACAAGCAAUGUGAACAACAGAAUGGCCUCUCUGGCAAUCGCUGAAGACAGAAAGUCCAGUACCUUGAUCCUGCACCGUGCUACCUUGAGAGAUGCUGCUGUGUACUACUGCAUCCUGAGAGAC